rnacentral:rRNA from 1 species
UACGUAGACAACCAGGAUGUUGGCUUAGAAGCAGCCAUCAUUUAAAGAGUGCGUAACAGCUCACUGGUCAAGUGUUUUUGCGCCGAAAAUGAUCGGGGCUCAAGUAUUGUACCGAAGCUACGGGUGCAAGUCUUCUUCGGAACGACUUGUGCGGUAGGGGAGCGUUCUAGUCAGCGCUGAAGCAUAACCGGCAAGGAUAUGUGGAGCGGCUAGAAGUGAUUAUGCCGGAAUGAGUAGCGAUAAGACAAGUGAAAAACUUGUCCGCCGAAAACCCAAGGUUUCCCGGGGAAGGUUAAUCCGCCCGGGGUUAGUCGGUCCUAAGCCAAGGCCGGAUAGGCGUAGGUGAUGGAAAACAGGUUAAUAUUCCUGUACCAAUAGUUUUGCGCUAUUAGCUAGGAAGUGCCGGUAAAGGUAGGUGAUCGCGGUGUUGGUUGUCCGCGUUCAAGCUUUUAGCCCUUCGGGGUGAGAAGUGUUAAGGAGUUUACACUUUGGUGUAAACGAACUCAUCGAUCCUAUGGCUGCAAGAAAAGCUUUUCUAGUAAGUUAGACUAUUGACCGUACUGUAAACGGACACACGUGGGUGGGAUGAGAAUUCUAAGGCGCUCGAGAUAAUGCUCUCCAAGGAACUAGGCAAAAUAGCCCCGUACCUUCGGAAGAAGGGGUGCCUGAGUAGGGUUCACGCCCGAAAAGGCCGCAGUGAAAGGGGACAGGCGACUGUUUAUCAAAAACACAGCUCUCUGCUAAGUCGAUAAGACGCUGUAUAGGGAGUGACACGUGCCCGGUGCUGGAAGGUCAAGCGGAGCGGUUAGACUUCGGUCGAAGCUGCAAAGUUAAGCCCCAGUAAACGGCGGCCGUAACUAUAACGGUCCUAAGUAGCGAAAUUCCUUGUCGGGUAAGUUCCGACCUGCACGAAUCGUGUAACGAUCUGUCCGCUGUCUCGGAGAGUAGCUCGGUGAAAUUGCAGUGGCGGUGAAGAUACCGCUAACCCGCAACUAGACGGAAAGACCCCGUGCACCUUUACUGUAGCUUGGUAUUGAGUUUAGAUUUUAUGUGUGUAGCAUAGCCGGGAGACUUUGAAGCUUUUGCGCUAGCAGGAGCUGAGUCACAAUGUGAAAUACCGGUCUCAUAAUGUUUGAAUUCUAACUGCGACCCUUGAAUCAGGGCGUAAGACAGUGCCAGGUGGGCAGUUUGACUGGGGCGGUCGCCUCCUAAACAGUAACGGAGGCGUUCAAAGGUUCACUUAGUGUGGUCGGCAAUCACACGUCAAGGGCAAACCUAAAUAGUGAGCUUGACUGCGAGACCUACAAGUCGAGCAGAGACGAAAGUCGGAGUUAGUGAUCCGGUGGUUCAAAGUGGAAUGGCCAUCGCUCAUCGGACAAAAGGUACGCCGGGGAUAACAGGCUUAUCGCAUCCAAGAGUUCAUAUCGACGAUGCGGUUUGGCACCUCGAUGUCGGCUUCAUCACAUCCUGGGGCUGG